rnacentral:misc_RNA from 1 species
GGAGGUGGUAGUUCAUCAGUCAAGGUGUGGGAUACUAAUCGGUGGGAACUUGUUACCACGAUGUCCAUUCCUCGUCAAGGAGCCCCACAACCAUCUGAUAAAAGCACCAACAAGAAAUUUGUCCUUUCAGUUGCAUGGAGUCCUGAUGGUAGUCUUCUUGCUUGUGGAUCAGUUGAUGGGACUAUCUCUGUUUUUGAUGUAGCUCGCGCCAAGUUCCUUCACUUCUUAGAUGGCCAUACCAUGCCUGUUCGUUCUCUCGUGUUUUCACCUUCACUUCACGACUCAAGAAUACUCUUCUCAGCAUCAGAUGACGGUCAUGUGCAUAUGUAUGAUGCUGAGGGGAAAACAUUGCUCACGUCUUUAUCGGGUCAUGCAAGUUGGGUUCUGAGUGUUGAU